rnacentral:rRNA from 1 species
AUGCCCCCGCCUCCCGCUCCCGCUCCCGCCGUCCCAUCGGUGGUCUCCUCGGGCCGUGGCACCGACCUUGGUCCCCGCGCUCAAGCCCUCCUGCAACCCGUCCCGUCCGACCUCUCGACCGUGAUACGCUCCGCGGCACGCCUCUUGCCGCCUCCGCCUCCCGCUUCGGAGCGCCGCCGUCCUCCGCCGCCGCUUGGAGGAGAGCCCCCUCUGCCCUCCUUCCGCGGCCACGCGCCGACGUGCCUCUGCGUACCCGUUCCUCGGCCGCGGGUGUCUGCUACGUGUUCGACCAAAUGCUUCAGUGCCCGUUUCCCCUUUCUCCUACAGUAUUUUACAACUUCCAGAAAAUCGCGAUCCUGCGCUACUACGCCCCGUAGCAAUUCCACCCGCACUCAUUUGACCUGGGCUAGCUUCAUCGCUCAAAGAAAGGGACGUUUUAGUGUAGCACUUUGUCAUCUCUAUACCUGCAAACCUUAUCAACGGCACAUUUAUUUAAUAGUGGAGUGUUCAGAAUGCUUAGUCCCCAUGGCAUGUUUGUGUAUGCCAGCUCUGUUUUCAAACUGA